CGACCGGCGCACGGUGAGUAACACGUAUGCAACCCACCUGUAACAGGGGGAUAACCCGGAGAAAUCCGGACUAAUACCCCAUAAUAUGGGCGCUCCGCAUGGAGAGUUCAUUAAAGAGAGCAAUUUUGGUUACAGACGAGCAUGCGCUCCAUUAGCCAGUUGGCGGGGUAACGGCCCACCAAGGCGACGAUGGAUAGGGGUUCUGAGAGGAAGGUCCCCCACAUUGGAACUGAGACACGGUCCAA
rnacentral:rRNA from 1 species